GGGCUUCAGAGACCAGCGACUUGGCAAGCAAGUGAGAGAGAAAGAGAAACCAAGGAGGAGUUUAUCUUUAAAACAAAAUCUCCCUCAGAGUUUUAGAAGCACAUGGAAGAAGACAGUUGUAACGGCCAGGCAUGCGGUGCACAUCUCUAAUCCCACCUCUUAGAAAAUACUUGUCA
rnacentral:lncRNA from 1 species